rnacentral:rRNA from 1 species
GGAGUUUGGACCGUGUCUCAGUUCCAAUGUGGGGGACCUUCCUCUCAGAACCCCUACUGAUCGAUGGCUUGGUGGGCCGUUACCCCGCCAACAACCUAAUCAGACGCAUCCCCAUCCCUUAGCGAUGAAUCUUUGGUUCAACUCAGAUGUCCUCGUCGAACAACAUAGGGUAUUAAUCCGAUUUUCACCGGGCUAUCCCCUACUAAGGGGAAGGUUGGAUACGCGUUACUCACCCGUGCGCCGGUCGCCAUCGCCGGUUGCAAGCAACCGACAUGCUGCCCCUCGACUUGCAUGUGUUAAGCCUGUAGCUAGCGUUCAUC